CGGUAGGAUACACAUGAGUAUCCUCGAUGAAAGGUGGCUAUGGAAGAGGGGAGGACACUCUUCCGUUUGCCUACUAAUUAAUUGACACAAUCCUCAACCACUUGACCACUUAUCUGUUUCCGGGUCAUGGAGGAGAGAGGACGGAGUAUGGUCUUUUGCCCAAAUGAGAAAACCCCUCGAUCUCAGUAGCGCUGUUUGUCUCUAUCGUGGUGCACUAUGCGCGGAGCUUUGAGCAACAAUUUUGAAGGAAAACUUACAGAAAGUUCAACCAUAAACACAUUCUCAGCAGUUUAUUCUGUAGUUGCUCCCCCACACCACCGGGGGCAACAAACUUCUCCACGAUGUCCGUGACCAGGUGGCUCAUACAUCUGAGACAGACUUUGCAGUGCCUCCGUGUGCAACUGCCUUGAGCAGCAGUUUGCGGGACUUCGGAGGGAAAAUGUUGUGCAGUGAGGUGUAGGGGAUAGUCUGCAGCAGGACGACCCCCAGUGGAUGGACACCGAGGGGUGUGGUGCUCUUCCAGCAGCUCUCUUUUGAGGUUCUCUCUAUACGUUUGGAUUUAACUGGACCUACUCAUUUGUAAUGCUGAUUGAUACAUGGAAAAAUUCUAAAGACAAAUUUGAUAACCCCAUGAUCAAGAAGAGAGUGGCCUGGGAAAUUGUAGCUUGAAUGCAGCAAAAUAAAAGUUAUCCUGUGACCUGGGAGACGUGAUGCGAAAUGGAGGAGUCUGAAGCACAUGUGUGUGUUGCUACAGUAGAAGGCCAUCCUUGAUGGGCAUCAGAAGACGGGGCAGGGGAGAAGGAUUUGGGAGUUCUACUCCAUCAUGUUGAUCAUGCGGUGACCCCCGCAGUCAUUAUAUCAUAUUUUCCCACAUGCAAUACUCACACUGUCACCCACAACACUCACACCGCAACCUACACCAACCCCAAGAUCACUACACACACACAUCAUACAGCACACAAUACUAAUUACACUGUCACAACCCAGCACCUCCACAGACACCCCACACAGCACACUACAGUAACACUGACACCAUCUCCCUCUACUACAACACCUUAUAACCCUCAUGCCAACACCAAUCCCCGCACUCAACCCAAAAUAAAGACCAAAAGAGAUGCUCUUAAGGCAAAACUGGACAAUAUCAUCGCACUUCAGAAAAUAACACUUCAAGCACAGAGUGAGAGGAACGAUAGCUUAAAUCUAUUUAUUUAUUUAUUUAUUUAUUGUUUAAUUGUACACUAAUAAUUUAUUAUCCUGAGAUUUUCCUUGAUUGUAUGUUCUCCCUCAUCCGCCAUUCAGCAAAUCAGAUCAUGACUCCGUACUCCUGCUUCCUGUUUACAAGCAGAAACUUAAACAGGAAGUACCCAUGACUCAUUCUGUUAAGAAAUGGUCACCAGAAACAGAGAUAAUGCUACAGGACUGCUUGUGAGAGGUUCCUGUCAUAUGCAUAAAAAAACAUUACCAAGUACAUCACGUUGAUGAAAGUGGUGCACGGUGCAAUAACCUCGUUCUAUCAUUUGAACUUCAGACAUGUUAACAGGGAAUUCAUAUUAUUAUGGCCAUGCCAAAGGGCACAUACUACAACAAGAGUAUCCAAGGGGAUCUAAGUGUAGUUGGAACACAGGAUUUUUAAACAUUGGCAUUCACGUCCAAUGAUAUUGGCCAUUUUCUAUAAAGGAUUUGUACCUUCCUGUGAAUUUUGAAACCGUAAUGUAAAAGCGAACUGGAAAUACAGUAUAUUGAGGAUGUAACUAGGACAUGACUGUUGGUUGAAUAGGUUAUGUUUGUAAGAGUAUACUACAUAUGUUUUUUUAACUAUUGAAACUAGGAAAAUCAGAAUAGUAUGAAUAUAUUCUUUAUUUCUUCUCUGGUGCUAUAUUUUAUUAUAUACCCUGCACCUAACAUUGUGCUGGAAGUGUGUAUACCACCUGUAACAGAUACAUUUAUCAGCUGACCAAAUUUGGCUGGUGUACUGUCUUGCCUCCAUUAAUGAAAUUGUAUUCCCAGAUGAGGAUGAUGUAAUCCUUGGUUUACAGUUCAUUCAGCUGCAUGAAUAAUGCAUUUGUUUUUAAUAAACUUCUGCAUAUUUGAAAUGUCAGAAUAUUCUCUUAAGUCCACUUAGCAUGCAAUGCACCAUGUUCAACUUGCAUGCUAUACUAUCCUGCAUAGCUAUCCUUCACCCUACUUUGACUACCUUGGAGUACUGUCACCUAUACAGUCACACAGCUUUGUUCAAACUGCAGGCCUUAAUGCUCAAAUCAGUUUUGUUUUUAAAAUCCGUUUUGGAAUACUGACUGUCCUAACAGCAAGUUACAAGUGACCAAAUCGGAGCUUUCUAAAGAGCAGCGUGACGCAAACCUCCUUAAUCCAGAUUACUGUAGAAUUGCUAAUCCUUUAAAAAAUAUACAAUUUCUAAAAAAAACUAAAACAUGACUGAGAUUUGUUAAAAUGUUUGUGUGUGUAAAAAAACAGUUUAAUUUUAAUAUAAUAACUGUAUAUUCCACCGGCAUCUACGGAAAUAAUGUUCAGACACCUUAGUGGGGUUUGUGUAUAAAUAUGGUGGUGUAUUUACACUUGGAAGCAGCUGUGAUGAAUGCCUGUGUGGAUUGUCCUGUUCAAUAGUGUGUGUGUGUGUGUGUGUGUGUGUGUGUUUGUGUGUGUGUGUGUGUGUGUGUGUGUGUGGCGGGGAUUGUGUAAUCAGCUUCAGGGCUUCAGAUCUGACAGGGUAGAUCACGGUCUAGAUCACUAAUCAAGUAAGAGAAGGGUAGUAGAAUGACUUCUCACCCUGAUCUCACGCCUGGCUGAGGCUGGAGCUGGGGCUGAUUUCGAGGCAUUAGAGCCAGUGUGUGAUAUCCAAAAAUAUUGUAAUUUCAGCAGUUGCUGGUGUAUAAAACCGAAAGUAAAAGACGCAAAAACGAAACGGGUUGUGCCGCAGAGCACCAUGUGAGUUGUUUAUGUUGAGAUGAGCACGUUCUAGAUAAAUGGUUGAACUGAUUCCUGUCUCCCAUGUCAUCAUUAUUUAAUUGUUAUAAAAAUGUGGUUAUGAAACCCAAGAGAACGGUUUGAAAAUCUUGUUCUUGCAAAUGACAUUGAUGAAGAUAAAAUUGUGCCUAAAUUUUUUUGUGUAAUGGGGCCAAAGACAUUUCAUUUACUAUGCAACCUGCUACAGCCAGAUAGGGUAGGUAAAAAGGCUUAUGGGUAUAUUGUGGAAAUACUUAAAGGGAUACCUGUGGAUUUUGGCAAUGAA